UCAGCCGCCGCGGUAAUACCAGCUCUCCGAGUGGUGUGGACGUUUAUUGGGCCUAAAGCAUCCGUAGCUGGCUGAACAAGUCCCCUGUUAAACCCACCGAUUUAAUCGUUGGCGUGCGGGGGAUACUGCUUGGCUAGGGGACGAGAGAGGCAGACGGUAUUCCCGGGGUAGGGGUGAAAUCCUAUAAUCCCGAGAAGACCACCAGUGGCGAAGGCUGUCUGCUAGAACGCGCCCGACGGUGAGGGAUGAAAGCUGGGGGAGCGGACCGGAUUAGAUACCCGGGUAGUCCCAGCUGUAAACGAUGCAGACUAGGUGUUUGGACGGCCACGUGCCGUUCUAGUGCCGCAGGGAAGCUGUUAAGUCUGCCGCCUGGGGAGUACGAUCGCAAGGUUGAAACUUAAAGGAAUUGGCGGGGGAGCACA
rnacentral:rRNA from 1 species